rnacentral:rRNA from 1 species
UACGGGGGGGGCAAGCGUUGUUCGGAAUCACUGGGCGUAAAGGGCUCGUAGGCGGCCAACUAAGUCAGACGUGAAAUCCCUCGGCUUAACCGGGGAACUGCGUCUGAUACUGGAUGGCUUGAGGUUGGGAGAGGGAUGCGGAAUUCCAGGUGUAGCGGUGAAAUGCGUAGAUAUCUGGAGGAACACCGGUGGCGAAGGCGGCAUCCUGGACCAAUUCUGACGCUGAGGAGCGAAAGCCAGGGGAGCAAACGGG